UACGUAGGGUGCGAGCGUUGUCCGGAAUUACUGGGCGUAAAGAGCUCGUAGGUGGUUUGUCGCGUUGUCCGUGAAAACUCACAGCUUAACUGUGGGCGUGCGGGCGAUACGGGCAGACUGGAGUACUGCAGGGGAGACUGGAAUUCCUGGUGUAGCGGUGGAAUGCGCAGAUAUCAGGAGGAACACCGGUGGCGAAGGCGGGACUCUGGGCCGAUACUGACGCUGAGGAGCGAAAGCGUGGGGAGCAAACAGG
rnacentral:rRNA from 1 species